GACGUAGGGCGCGAGCGUUGUCCGGAUUUAUUGGGCGUAAAGAGCUCGUAGGCGGCUUUUCAAGUCGGAUGUGAAAUCCCUCGGCUUAACCAAGGAAGUGCAUCCGAAACUGGAAGGCUUGAGUACUUAAGAGGAUCGCGGAAUUCCCGGUGUAGAGGUGAAAUUCGUAGAUAUCGGGAGGAACACCAGUGGCGAAGGCGGCGAUCUGGGAAGAUACUGACGCUGAGGUGCGAAAGCGUGGGGAGCAAACAGG
rnacentral:rRNA from 1 species